AAAACCCUAAACUCACUCAAAAAACUUUCAUCCGCAUCUCCUCUCUUGCUCUCUCUAAACUCCGGCCACCUUCACAGCCGCUGAAAUUUCCAAGCUAUCCGCAUCACCAUCGACGACAACCAAGUUGUCCGCACCAACGCCGCCGACAACCACAACAACCGCCAAUAACCAACCAGUCGUCCGCACCACCGGUAUCGCCGACAACAGACGCCCUCCUCCAUAAGAAUGAGUUUGAAAGAAAGAAACAAGAAAUAUUACUGCUCAAAGUGUAUCAAUUGUGGAAGGAGGAUGAGAAAGGUAUUGAACUUGUUGAUAAAACAUGUAUACAAGAAAUCAUCUUCAAAUGAUGAACGCUCAUCUCAAGAAGACAACAAGCUUAUGAGGAUGAAAGUGAUGAUGACUUUGACGACAUGAAUGAAAGUGAUCCUAAUCCUGAUAACGUGGAUGAAAGUGAUUCUGACCCUGAUGGUUGGUAGUUUUAUUGAGGAUUCAAGUUUGAAAUAUUUUAUUUUGGACCAUUGAAGACUCAUAUAUUAUUAAUGUGGAUGUUAUGAAUUAUGUUUUUUUUUUGUUAGCUGUAAUGGUUUAUAUUAGACUUGUAUUAAAUGGUGUUUUUGAGACUUAUUGGAGGUUUUGAAUACAUUUUUGACUAAUUGUGAAAUAUUUUUAGUAA